GAGUUUGCACAGCUGCUGCUGGAAGCAAACAUGUACUUUUAGCUGACCUGGGCUGAUGACUUCGGGCGUUAAAUCUGACGCUUUCCAGAUGUACAGACUUCUCCUGCCACAGUCCCCAAACAUUCAGUCCUCAGGGAACAAUGUGUAGCUGCUGUCAUGUCUCACAGACCUUAAGAGUCUCUGCACCAUGGCAGAUGGAGUCCUUGAGGAAACAGCCUGCAGGAAAGAUGAGACAUCUAAACCACAGCCCAGUGAGACUGUGUACUUACAGGAAAAUGAGGUUUUAAUGGUUUAUUGAACACAUUCAAA